rnacentral:tRNA from 1 species
ACUUAAGUAGUUUAAAUAAAAUUAUGAUUUGUGGUAUCAUAGAUAUAAAUUAUUAUCUUGGGUU